GGGGUUGUGGCUCAGUGGUAGAGUGCUCGCCUCGUACAUUUGAGACCCUGGGUUCGAUCCCCAGCACCACCA
rnacentral:tRNA from 1 species